rnacentral:rRNA from 1 species
CCUACGGGUGGCAGCAGUGAGGAAUAUUGGUCAAUGGGCGGAAGCCUGAACCAGCCAAGUAGCGUGCGGGAUGAAGGCCCUACGGGUCGUAAACCGCUUUUGCACGGGGAUAACACCCUCCACUUGUGGAGGUCUGCAUGUACCGUGCGAAUAAGGGCAGGCUAAUUCCGUGCCAGCGGCAGCGGUAAUACGGAAGGCCCGAGCGUUAUCCGGGUUCAUUGGGCUAAAAGGGGGCGUAGGCGGGCGUUCCAGUCAGCUGUACAAUCGCGCGGCGCAACCGCGCCACGCAGUUGAAACUGGAGGCCUUGAGUUCACAACAGGCAGGCGGAAUUCGUGGUGUAGCGGUGAAAUGCAUAGAUAUCACGAGGAACCCCGAUUGCGAAGGCAGCCUGCCGGGGUGCGACUGACGCUGAGGCUCGAAGGUGCGGGUAUCAAACAGGAUUAGAUACCCUGGUAGUC